UCUUAUUAAGAGAGGGUGGAGGGAAAUGGCCCAGUGAAGCCUCGGCAACUUUCAAACUUUAAAAAUUUAAAAGUUUGAAAAAGUGCCAAAUCCAUCAGCUUUUUUAUAUUAU
rnacentral:ncRNA from 1 species